GGUUCCGUAGUUCAACUGGAUAGAACAACAGACUUCUAAUCUGUAGGUUGAGGGUUCGAGUCCUUCCGGAAUCGCCA
rnacentral:tRNA from 1 species